CUGGCGGCGUGCUUAACACAUGCAAGUCGAACGGAAAGGCCCUGCUUUUGUGGGGUGCUCGAGUGGCGAACGGGUGAGUAACACGUGAGUAACCUGCCCUUGACUUUGGGAUAACUUCAGGAAACUGGGGCUAAUACCGGAUAGGAGCUCCUGCUGCAUGGUGGGGGUUGGAAAGUUUCGGCGGUUGGGGAUGGACUCGCGGCUUAUCAGCUUGUUGGUGGGGUAGUGGCUUACCAAGGCUUUGACGGGUAGCCGGCCUGAGAGGGUGACCGGCCACAUUGGGACUGAGAUACGGCCCAGACUCCUACGGGAGGCAGCAGUGGGGAAUAUUGCACAAUGGGCGGAAGCCUGAUGCAGCAACGCCGCGUGCGGGAUGACGGCCUUCGGGUUGUAAACCGCUUUCGCCUGUGACAAAGCGUGAGUGACGGUAAUGGGUAAAGAAGCACCGGCUAACUACGUG
rnacentral:rRNA from 1 species